CCUUUAUGUUCUGGGCUACACACGUGCUACAAUGGCUGGUACAGAGGGCGGCGAAGGAGUGAUCUGGAGCGAAUCCCAAAAAGCCGGUCUCAGUUCGGAUUGCAGGCUGCAACUCGCCUGUAUGAAGUCGGAAUCGCUAGUAAUCGCGAGUCAGCAUAUCGCGGUGAAUACGUUCCCGGGUCUU
rnacentral:rRNA from 1 species